UAUCAGUGAUGAAUUCUAUCCUGAAACUGGUGAUCUGAAGAAAAAAACAUGUUAUGAAUUCAGCUACUGAGAU